rnacentral:rRNA from 1 species
AUUGAACGCUGGCGGCAGGCCUAACACAUGCAAGUCGAACGGAUGAAGAGAGCUUGCUCUCUGAUUUAGCGGCGGACGGGUGAGUAAUGCCUAGGAAUCUGCCUGGUAGUGGGGGAUAACGUUCCGAAAGGAACGCUAAUACCGCAUACGUCCUACGGGAGAACGCAGGGGACCUUCGGGCCUUGCGCUAUCAGAUGAGCCUAGGUCGGAUUAGCAAGUUGGUGAGGUAAUGGCUCACCAAGGCGACGAUCCGUAACUGGUCUGAGAGGAUGAUCAGUCACACUGGAACUGAGACACGGUCCAGACUCCUACGGGAGGCAGCAGUGGGGAAUAUUGGACAAUGGGCGAAAGCCUGAUCCAGCCAUGCCGCGUGUGUGAAGAAGGUCUUCGGAUUGUAAAGCACUUUAAGUUGGGAGGAAGGGCAGUAAGUUAAUACCUUGCUGUUUUGACGUUACCGACAGAAUAAGCACCGGCUAACUUCGUGCCAGCAGCCGCCGUAACAC